CUACAGAAUAAACUGGGGAGUGUUUGCUUCCAACUGUGCCACCCAUACAGAAACCAGUAAAAUGGAAAACUUCAAUCAGAAACAUUUAAGAGUUAGAAUGAGUAAGAAUCAAUUUUCAUCCUAUGCAGCUUGAUUCUUAUGGUCCUUAGGGCCCAUUGUUCUUCAUGUUUUAGAUGUGUCUCUGCUCCAGAAUACCUGAAGCAAAUGAUUGCAUUAUCCCUCAGCAUGUUAAUCACACCUAAAACAAGCAGGACAGUGAGCCUAUUUAUAAGUGAGGAAAUACACCACUGGAUAUUUAUUGUCUUAAAAACCAAAAUGGCUGAAUUGAAAAAUUCCCAUCAGGCUCGUCGCCAUGAUGACAAUAAACGGUGAUGGUGGUUUGAUGGGCUUUAAUUCGUUAACUGGGUCUAACUGCAUAAAAAAUUAGUUUGACCUUCCGAAGUAAAACAUCGACGUGAUCUUUCGACCAACAGUGCAGCUGAACAAGUUUGAUGGUUUCCUCUUUCGGGAGGAAGACCACGGUGCCCAUCCAUUGCGACGUGUGGAUGGAGACGAGGAUGUUGGCUGAGAUGAGGAAGAUGGAGCUUUCUGGGACCUCCUGGUGAUGCUGUUGAGAGCAGAAGAUCCAAAUGAGGGCAAAUAUUCAGAGCUGAGAGAUGAAAGCUGCGACCGCCUCGUCUUUAACGGCCAAAACUGAAGCAAAGGCAGCGAGAGGCAGAGAACAGCAGAGCUCUUACAUAACUGCUGUAGGGACUUAUGUAACAGGACAAUGUGGGUCAGACUCCAUUCAUCUACUCCAGGUUUAAACUCAGAACCUGGUCUCG